rnacentral:lncRNA from 1 species
UUCUGCCCUCCUGCAUGCUUAUGUAGCCUACUGCAUGGCGAACUUUCAUUCUUGUUUUCCUCCUUUUUCUGUUAUUGACGGCGAUGCUCUUCCGAGAGAAGGAAAGGUCGUAUAGAUAGGGUUGACCCAAGGCAGCCCUGAUUGACUACCCAGUUCUGAUUUGGGGAGGGGGACAUGCAGAAGAGAGCCGAAGAGAAAGAUGAGCAGAAACGAGGUAACCGCGCACACCAUACAGCCGUAAGUCAGCCAUGAAGGCGUGCUGACUCAACAAAGUUGAACGGAGCUGUGUGCCGCUUUUGUGAAUGUAUCUUGUUGCGCAUAGAAAGUGAUGCGGACGAGUGCUUUCGUGACGACUGAACUCGCAGAGAGACAGACGCCCACAACUACCAGCUUUUGGAACGCUAUCAUGUAAGCACGUCACCGCAUACGCGAGAAAAUAUUUCCAAGGAUGUUAGGAUGAAAAA